UGGCUUUCGGAGUCGGGGGUUCGGCUGUCUCCAGCCCUGUUUGCAUGUGCCGGGCCGCGGCGAGGAGCCUCCGCCCCCCACCCGGUUGUUUUUUCGGCGCCUCCCUCUCCUCGGCUGCGGUGGCGGCGGCGGCAGCAUGGCGAGCCCUCCCGAGACCGACGGCUUCUCGGAUGUGCGCAAGGUGGGCUACCUGCGCAAACCCAAGAGCAUGCACAAGCGCUUCUUCGUGCUGCGGGCGGCCAGCGAGGCGGGGGGCCCGGCGCGCCUCGAGUACUACGAGAACGAGAAGAAGUGGCGGCACAAGUCGAGCGCCCCCAAACGCUCGAUCCCCCUCGAGAGCUGUUUCAACAUCAACAAGCGGGCCGACUCCAAGAACAAGCACCUGGUGGCCCUUUACACCCGGGACGAGCACUUUGCCAUCGCGGCGGACAGCGAGGCGGAGCAGGACAGCUGGUACCAGGCCCUUCUGCAGCUGCACAACCGGGCCAAGGGCCACCACGACGGGGCGGCAGCCCCCGGGGCAGGAGGAGGUGGGGGCAGCUGCAGCGGCAGCUCUGGCCUCGGGGAGGCUGGGGAGGACUUGAGUUACGGGGACGUGCCCCCAGGACCUGCGUUCAAGGAGGUCUGGCAGGUGAUCCUGAAACCCAAGGGCCUGGGUCAGACAAAGAACCUGAUUGGUAUCUACCGUCUCUGCCUGACCAGCAAGACCAUCAGCUUCGUGAAGCUGAACUCGGAGGCGGCGGCUGUGGUGCUGCAGCUGAUGAACAUCAGACGCUGCGGCCACUCAGAGAACUUCUUCUUCAUCGAGGUGGGCCGUUCCGCAGUGACGGGACCUGGGGAGUUCUGGAUGCAGGUGGAUGACUCUGUGGUGGCCCAGAACAUGCACGAGACAAUUCUGGAGGCCAUGAGGGCCAUGAGCGAUGAGUUCCGUCCUCGAAGUAAGAGCCAGUCCUCCUCCAACUGCUCCAACCCCAUCAGCGUCCCCCUGCGCAGGCACCAUCUCAACAACCCCCCGCCCAGCCAGGUGGGGCUGACGCGCCGCUCUCGCACCGAGAGCAUCACCGCCACCUCUCCGGCCAGCAUGGUGGGCGGCAAGCAGGGCUCCUUCCGUGUGCGCGCGUCCAGUGAUGGCGAAGGCACCAUGUCCCGGCCGGCCUCGGUGGACGGCAGCCCCGUGAGUCCUAGCACCAACAGGACCCACGCCCACCGGCAUCGCGGCAGCUCCCGGCUACACCCUCCUCUCAACCACAGCCGCUCCAUCCCCAUGCCUUCCUCUCGCUGCUCACCUUCUGCCACCAGCCCGGUCAGUCUGUCGUCCAGCAGCACCAGUGGCCACGGCUCCACCUCGGACUGUCUUUUCCCACGGAGGUCUAGUGCUUCUGUGUCGGGAUCCCCCAGCGAUGGCGGCUUCAUCUCCUCGGAUGAGUAUGGCUCCAGCCCUUGCGAUUUCCGAAGUUCCUUCCGCAGUGUCACCCCGGAUUCCCUGGGCCACACCCCACCAGCCCGCGGCGAGGAGGAGCUGAGCAACUACAUCUGCAUGGGGGGCAAAGGGUCCUCCACCCUUGCCGCCCCCAAUGGUCACUACAUUUUGCCUCGGGGUGGCAACGGUCACCGCUACAUCCCAGGAACUGGUUUGGGCACGAGCCCAGCCCUGGCUGGGGAUGAAGCCGCCAGCGCUACAGAUCUGGAUAAUCGGUUCCGAAAGCGGACUCACUCUGCGGGCACGUCCCCUACCAUUUCCCACCAGAAGACCCCAUCCCAGUCCUCUGUGGCUUCCAUUGAGGAAUACACGGAGAUGAUGCCUGCCUACCCACCAGGAGGUGGCAGUGGAGGCCGACUGCCUGGCUACCGACACUCUGCCUUCGUGCCCACCCACUCCUACCCGGAGGAGGGUCUGGAAAUGCACCCUUUGGACAGGCGUGGGGGCCACCACCGCCCAGACGCCUCCACUCUCCACACUGAUGAUGGCUACAUGCCCAUGUCCCCAGGAGUGGCGCCAGUGCCCAGCAGCCGAAAGGGCAGUGGGGACUACAUGCCCAUGAGCCCCAAGAGCGUGUCUGCACCCCAGCAGAUCAUCAACCCAAUCAGACGCCAUCCCCAGCGAGUGGACCCCAGUGGCUACAUGAUGAUGUCCCCGAGUGGCAGCUGCUCCCCCGACAUUGGAGGUGGGCCCAGCAAUAAUACUGGCGCUGCCCCUUCUGGGGGCAGCUAUGGCAAGCUGUGGACAAAUGGGGUCGGGGGGCACCAUGGUUCUGCCCUGCCGCAUCCCAAGCUGCCUGGGGAGAGUGGCAGCGGCAAGCUCUUGUCUUGUACUGGUGACUACAUGAACAUGUCGCCAGUGGGGGACUCCAACACCAGCAGCCCCUCCGACUGCUACUAUGGCCCGGAAGACCCCCAGCACAAGCCAGUUCUCUCCUACUACUCAUUGCCAAGGUCCUUUAAGCACACCCAGCGCCCUGGGGAGCUGGAGGAGAGUGCUCGGCACCAACACCUUCGCCUUUCCUCCAGCUCUGGUCGCCUUCUCUAUGCUGCAGCGGCAGAAGAUUCCUCCUCCUCCACCAGCAGCGACAGCCUGGGAGGGGGAUACUGUGGGGUGAGGCCAGAUCCUGGCCUCCCACAUAUCCACCAUCAGGUCCUGCAGCCUCAUCUGCCUCGAAAGGUGGACACAGCUGCCCAGACCAACAGCCGCCUGGCUCGGCCCACGAGGCUGUCAUUGGGGGAUCCCAAGGCCAGCACCUUACCUCGGGUCCGAGAGCAGCAGCAACAGCCAUCCCUGCUGCACCCUCCAGAGCCCAAGAGCCCAGGGGAAUAUGUGAACAUUGAAUUUGGGAGUGAUCAGCCGGGUUACUUGUCUGGUCCUGUGGCUUCCCGCAGCUCGCCUUCUGUCAGGUGUCCAUCCCAGCUCCAGCCAGCUCCCCGAGAGGAAGAGACUGGCACGGAGGAAUACAUGAACAUGGACCUGGGGCCGGGCCGGAGGGCGACCUGGCAGGAGAGCACUGGGGUCCAGCCAGGCAGAGUGGGCCCUGCACCUCCUGGAGCUGCUACCAUGUGCCGGCCUACCCGGGCACUGCCCAGCAGCCGGGGGGACUACAUGACCAUGCAGAUGGGUUGUCCCGGGCAGAGCUAUGUGGACACCUCACCAGUUGCCCCCAUCAGCUAUGCUGACAUGAGGACAGGCGUUGUGGAGGAGGCCAGCAUUCCAGGGGCCACAGCAGCGGCUCCCUCAUCCUCUGCAGCCUCUGCUUCCCCUUCCACUGCGCCUGAGAAAGCAGGGGAGCUGGUGGCUCGCUCUUCCCUGCUGGGAGCCCCACAGGGACCUGGGGCCAUGAGCGCCUUCACCCGGGUCAACCUCAGUCCCAACCGGAACCAGAGUGCCAAAGUGAUCCGUGCGGACCCUCAAGGGUGCAGGAGGAGGCAUAGUUCUGAGACCUUCUCCUCCACACCUAGUGCCACCCGAGCGGGCAACAUGGUGCCCUUUGGAGGGGGGGCAGCUGUAGGGGGCAGCGGUGGUGGCAGCAGCAGCACGGAGGAUAUGAAACGCCACAGUUCUGCUUCCUUUGAGAAUGUGUGGCUGAGGCCUGGGGACCUCGGGGGAGCUGCCAAGGAGCCGGCCCCAGUGUGUGGGGCUGCUGGGGGUUUGGAGAAUGGGCUUAACUACAUAGACCUGGAUCUGGUCAAGGACUUCAAACAUCGACCUCAGGAGCGCCCCCCUCAACCGCAGCCGCCCCCGCCCCCUCAUCAGCCUCCGGGCAACAGUGAGAGCAGCUCAACCAGCCGCUCCAGUGAGGAUUUAAGCGCCUAUGCCAGCAUCAGUUUCCAGAAGCAGCCAGAGGACCUCCAGUAGCUCAGCUGGACAUCACAGCAGGUUGAUUCAGAAGUGGGAAGAAGAGGGUGCUGGAGGGAUUCACCAUUUAGGCAGUGUCUGCAGGCAUAAUGAAGACCUGAACAACCUCAGCAAAUCCUCCCUUUCCUCAUGGGUACCCAGACUCUGAAUAUUUCACGAUUCACAACCAGGACCUCACAUCUUCCUCAGUAGAUGGUACGAUGCAUCCAUUUCAGUUUGUUUACUUUCUAAAAUCCUCAGGAGUUCCUUGACUGAACUGCACGUACUAUAUUGUGCCAAGCAAAAAAGCACUGUGACACCAGAACCAUGAGUCUGCAUAAACUUCAUCGUCAACCUUAAGGACAUAGCUGGCCACGUGAGCUGAUGUGCCCACCACCAUGCCACGAGAGAAUGGGUUUACUCUCCUUGCAUUUACAAGAUCCAUUUCAUCUGCUGCUGAAACUGUGUAUGACAAAGCAUCGCUGUAAAUUAUUUCAUCCAAAACUGUUCGCGUUGGGUGGAGAGAGUAUUAAAUAUUUAACAUAGGUUUUGAUUUCUAUGUGUAAUUUUUUUAAUUAAAAUGUAACUUUUCUUACAGCACAUCUUUUUUUUGGAUGUGGAACUGAGGUAUACUAUGUUCUGUUGUAAAGAGUGGAGCAAAUACUUUAAAACAAGGCUAAUGAGAGUAGACUAGGAUACGAUCCUUGUUUUAAGAUUGUAAUUCAGAAAAAUAAUAUAAUAAGAAUCAUAGUGCCAUUAGAUGGUUCUCAGUUGUAUAGUUCUAUUUGUGGAUACUAUCUCUUGUAAUAUAGCCCUGAUGUUGAGCUGAGAUCCUUACAAGAAUUGAUCUUCAUUUUGUAUUUUUUCCUGUAAGGCAGUAGGCCAUGUUAAUUAAACUGAAGAAGGAUAUAUUCUACUGGGUGUUUUCAAGUGUCAGCUUAAAAUUGGCCAUUGAAUGGAAGCAAAAUUACAAGCAAAGGAAGUCAAAGUCUUCCAUUGUAUAUACUGUAAGGAGGAGGAGACUUGGGUGAUCCCUUUAAAUCAAGAGCUCUCUUUGGAAUGAACAAUGUGGGUGUUUGUAAAUUCUGGAAAUUUCUUUCUAUUCAUAAUAAACUAGAGACUGUUGAUCUUU